rfam:Xylona heveae TC161 unplaced genomic scaffold L228scaffold_15, whole genome shotgun sequence.
GCCCGGGUGGCACAAUUGGUUAGCGCGUGAGACUUUUAAGUCUUGUCUUCUUCUUGUUCUCGAGGAGGGGGAAAGUCAAUAGGGAAUCUCAAGGUUGCGAGUUCGAUCCUCGCCUCGGGCG